GAGUUUGAUCCUGGCUCAGGACGAACGCUGGCGGCGUGCCUAAUACAUGCAAGUAGAACGCUGAAGACUUUAGCUUGCUAAAGUUGGAAGAGUUGCGAACGGGUGAGUAACGCGUAGGUAACCUGCCUACUAGCGGGGGAUAACUAUUGGAAACGAUAGCUAAUACCGCAUAACAGCAUUUAACCCAUGUUAGAUGCUUGAAAGGAGCAAUUGCUUCACUAGUAGAUGGACCUGCGUUGUAUUAGCUAGUUGGUGAGGUAACGGCUCACCAAGGCGACGAUACAUAGCCGACCUGAGAGGGUGAUCGGCCACACUGGGACUGAGACACGGCCCAGACUCCUACGGGAGGCAGCAGUAGGGAAUCUUCGGCAAUGGGGGCAACCCUGACCGAGCAACGCCGCGUGAGUGAAGAAGGUUUUUGGAUCGUAAAGCUCUGUUGUAAGAGAAGAACGUGUGUGAGAGUGGAAAGUUCACACAGUGACGGUAACUUACCAGAAAGGGACGGCUAACUACGUGCCAGCAGCCGCGGUAAUACGUAGGUCCCGAGCGUUGUCCGGAUUUAUUGGGCGUAAAGCGAGCGCAGGCGGUUUAAUAAGUCUGAAGUUAAAGGCAGUGGCUUAACCAUUGUUCGCUUUGGAAACUGUUAGACUUGAGUGCAGAAGGGGAGAGUGGAAUUCCAUGUGUAGCGGUGAAAUGCGUAGA
rnacentral:rRNA from 1 species